rnacentral:rRNA from 1 species
CCUACGGGCGGCAGCAGUGAGGAAUAUUGGUCAAUGGCCGAGAGGCUGAACCAGCCAAGUCGCGUGAGGGAAGACGGCCCUACGGGUUGUAAACCUCUUUUGUCGGGGAGCAAAGCGAGUCACGUGUGACUCAUUGAGAGUACCCGAAGAAAAAGCAUCGGCUAACUCCGUGCCAGCAGCCGGGGUAAUACGGAGGAUGCGAGCGUUAUCCGGAUUUAUUGGGUUUAAAGGGUGCGCAGGCGGAGUGGCAAGUCAGCGGUCAAAUUGCGGGGCUCAACCCCGUACUGCCGUUGAAACUGCAGCCCUUGAGUGCGCGAGAAGUAUGCGGAAUGCGUGGUGUAGCGGUGAAAUGCAUAGAUAUCACGCAGAACUCCGAUUGCGAAGGCAGCAUACCGGCGCGCAACUGACGCUCAUGCACGAAAGCGUGGGUAUCGAACAGGAUUAGAUACCCGAGUAGUC